GAACACUCAAAUUCACAAGAAAAAAUUCCCCGUAACACAUCUGUGAAGCCUGAGCCAUCGUUAAGUCCAGAAGAACAUGAAAGAGAUGUAAACCUUAGAGCUUCAUCUGAAGAAUCAAAGGAUUGUCUCGCGAAGUGUUCUUCUGUGACUGUAUCUCAAAUCAAAUGGGACCGUGAAGAUAUCUCAUCUGAGUCAAAAAGUGGCAUGGAUGACUGUCGUAAGAUUGGCAGUAGUCCAAAGAUAAGGAAGAAGGGAAGAUUGAAGACUGGUAAUGACAACCAAUCAACCCUCUUUCAAUACUUAGGGAGAAAAUAGAUAGGCUUACCUUAUCCAGACAGUUCACAGGACAAGAAAUUGUACAGAUUAUACAACAACGUGAAGGGAGACAAGGAGACCACACCACCCAAAUGAAAUGCUUCAUUCAUUAAAGAAUAAGCAUAUUCAUCAGCUAAGAGGGAACAAAGUUGAACGUAGAAAUGGCAAAAGCGAGAAAUAAGCUUCUAUCAACUUCUCAUUUGGAGUUAGCUCUAUAAUCAACCUCUUCAACAUCCGAAAAGGCCCGACCAUGACUCGUGACCCAAGACAGAACCCUCUCCGUCGAUUCCCAAGUCGUAUAGUACUGCUUCUUCGUCUUCGCGACCGUCGUCGUGGGCGACACCAUCCUAUUAACCCAGUUGAGUUCGAGCACAUUGGUAUGGCCAUGGCUUCUCUCUUUAACAUUCCCUAAUAGUGCUUGAUCUAGCUCCAAUAAUGUGAUUUUCUGAAUUUGAAUUUGAAUAUCUUCAUAAUGUGAUGUGUAUAUAUAUAUAUAUAUAUAUAUAGAUUGCAACAGGCUUGAAGUUAAUAGUGGUAGUCAUAAUGGCUGCAAUGAUAAUAAUCAUUACUUUGAGGCUU